UACGGAGGGGGCGAGCGUUAUUCGGAAUUAUUGGGCGUAAAGGGCGCGUAGGCGGCUUGGUAAGUCAAAGGUGAAAUCCCUCGGCUCAACUGAGGAAUGGCCUUUGAAACUGCCUGGCUCGAGGCCGGGAGGGGGUAGCGGAAUUCCCAGUGUAGCGGUGAAAUGCGUAGAUAUUGGGAGGAACACCGGUGGCGAAGGCGGCUACCUGGACCGGUUCUGACGCUGAUGCGCGAAAGCGUGGGGAGCAAACGGG
rnacentral:rRNA from 1 species